ensembl:lncRNA
CUGUUAACAUGAAUGCAAACCAUUUUGUCACUUCUGCCUACCAGAGAGAUUCUCUGACAACAUCCUUCUCCUCUUCUUCAUCCAGCUCACGCACCUUUUGGGUAUUCCUAGGAGGUAGAUCACAAGUCACUCCAGGUUGCUGCCUUCUGCCGCCACCUUCAGGACUCUGACUGCCCCUGUGUUCCAAGCUUUUGUUGGCCAGACUUACCACUUCCACUGUUAGGGUAAAAUUAUCCAAGAGCCCCAGCAGAGUUCUCAGGAUUCUCCUCAUAUGUCUCCCUUAUCAGGGAGGAAUGUCUUUCCGAGAAUUCCACCUCCACACUUCCUCUGCCUCAGCGGCAUUCCCUUCAGGUACCCUGGUGGGAAUGGGGCACUAUGCUAAUGCCUGGGUGGCAAGUGCGGCUGAGUACCUGGCAUUUUUAGCCGCUGUGGUGGUGGGUGGGCUCUCUAGACAAAGUAGAAAGGAAAGGAAAUGGGCUUUGGGUAGACAGUUCACGCCCUCCGCCGUGGCCCACUCAACUGCAACAAACGUUUAUUCCAUUAUAAACAAUUAAAAAUAUGUAGAAUUCAUUUACAGGGCUUCCCAAAUGGUGAUAGUGGUAAAGAAUCUUUGCCUGCCAAUGCAGGAGAUGCAAGAGACACGGGUUCAAUCCCUGGGUUGGGAAGAUCCCCUGGAGUAGGAAACAGCUACCCACUCCAGUAUUCUUGCUUGGAAAAUUCCAUGGACUGGCGGACUACAGUCCAGGAUGUCGCAAAGAGUCAGACACAACUGAACACACACACACAGAGCUCAUUUACAUGAAAUCUCAUCUGUCCCUCAAAGGAAGACAACCCCAAGAUUAUGCAGCUCUGCCCUCCAGCUCCUCUGCGUCCAGGACCUCUGGGACUAUGCAGUCUUCUCUUUCAGAACUGAAAUGGUUCCUCGUGGACCAGAAUCCUGGAGUUUCAAGGCAAGCUAACUGUCUCCAACACAUCCAGUAGACCGAUGUUUCUCAAAGUGCAGUUCUUACUCCAGCAACAGCAGUGUCACCACAGAACUCGUUGGAUGUGAAAAUUACUGACUGGGCAACAUCCCAAAGCUAUGAAGUCAGAAAAUCUGGGUUAUAUCUGUGAAAUUGCUGGUACAAUGUAAUUUUAAAGGUUUGGGGCCUCAAACUAUAGGGAAAGCCAUCUUCUCUUUUGUGUUAUUACUUUCCUAAGCAAAAAAAGAAAAAAAGGAUAGUGUUUCCUGAGACAUAAGUGCUAACUUUAGAACUCUGUAUAUUAAGCAGC